AGUUAGUUGACGAGUCCCAAAUAGGACGAAAUCUGCGUAAUCCUGGAU
rfam:Trichobilharzia regenti genome assembly, scaffold: TRE_scaffold0016263